AAAUAGGGGUGAGAUGGUUGCUUGAGUUUGCAACUUUUGUGAUGGAAUGAAAAAUGUUUUUCGAGAGUGGUUUGUUACUCUAGCCUGUGUUGGCUAGAUGUGACAAUAACUCUCGUGAAUUGUUAUUGUUAAGCUUGUGAACCAAGCUUUGUAAACUUUAAAUGAAAUUUGAAGUUUACUUGUGAAAUGAAAUUUCAUUUACCGCAUUUAACUUUUACGCUUUCCGCUUUUAAAUUCUUGUCGAUAUUUCCUGCUCUAUUUUUGAUAUCUCCAUUCCUGUCUUUCUAUUUUCACGGAGAUAUUUUUGGAGUUUUGCGAUUGAAUUGGAAUUUUAUUCUUUUUGGGGAUAGUUACAAUUUAGCUAUAUUCACCCCCCCUCUAUAGCCAAAUCCGAUCUCACAAUUGGUAUCAGAGCCCGGUUAUAGUUCGUUGUAACUUAACCGUGGCAACGAACUGUACUUAGGCUAUGGAGAAGUACUCAACGAAGCCGUUCGUUUUCGAUGGUGGCUCAGAUUUUAUGUUAUGGAAGGCUCGAAUAGAAUCUUACCUCCAGGGGUUAGGGUUGAAGGAAUGUCAAAGUGUUACCACUGCCUACCAAAUAUCCAAGGAUACCUCAAAUCUCACGGCAGACGUCGUUGCAAAAUGGGAGGCAAAUUAUCGAGCUUGAAAUGCACUUCUUGCUGGGUUAGGGUCUGGGGAGUUCAGCAGAUUGAACCACCUCAAGACUGCUAACGAAAUCUGGAAAAAUCUAUGCUCCUUCCGUGAAGGAAGCAAGGAGAUUAAAUUGGUUCGUCAAAACCAAUUCGAGAGGAAAUACCAGCGAUUUGAGAUGAACCCUGGAGAAUCUAUUGAUGAGUACUUUAAGAGAUUUGAGAAAAUUAUUUCAAACAUGAGGUCUGUCGGUCUUGAGCUUGAAGAAAAUGCAAAGGCUCGACACCUACUCAACAAUCUCGAUCUUGGACUUUGGGCUAUGAAAGUUACAUCCAUCACAAAAAGUGCACCUUUGAGUUUUCUCACCGUGGAAAUGCUUUACUCUAAGCUAAAAACCCACGAGAUGGAAAUUUUCCAUCGCAAAGGGCAAAAGCACUCGAUGGUACUUGUAGCUGAGCCCUCUUGUAGCGCUUGUGCUAAUGAAACUGCUUUGGUGUGUGGCGGCAUCUCCCUUUCUGCAUUACACUCCAUCUCCGAUGAAUAGUUGGAAAAAUUUUCUGAAGAUGAUUUGGCUCUUUUUGCUAAUAAAUUUACUAAGGCUUACAACAAUGUGAGAGAGAGGAAAGGAGUUAAAUCCACAAAAUCAUUUACAUGCUUUGAGUGUGGAGAACCAAAUCACAUUCGUGCUAAUUGUCCAAAACUGAAGAAGAAAGGCGAGAAUACGUCCAAACGGCCUGAGGGCCGAGCACGUGGGAGCCGGAAGGAAGGAUUGCGGAAGGUGAUCCACAAGGUACUUGCCGCGCUCGAGGAGGUGCAGCUCAGCGACGUCGACUCGGACUCCGACAAUGACCGUGACAAGUCUAAGAAGGACAAGGAGUUCGUUGGCAUGUGUUGCUACACCGACGACUACCUCAUCGACAUGUGUCUCAUGGCACUUGAGAACAUAGAUGACUCAACCGAACAUUCUAAGGUACGACCCUAUGAUGCCCUCUCCCUCGAUGAUUCUGAAAAUGAUAUGAAUGAAUUGCCUUGUGAUGAGAAUUAUUCGAGUGUUGACUUGGAUGAGGAUGGCAUUAGUAGAGAAAGAAUGGCUAGGUUGAUGACUACUCUCACUGAAAAAUACAAGCUAUGUGGUACUAAAAUUGUGAAACUAAAAUCUAAAAAAGAUGAUAUAUUAGUAGAAAUUGCUAGGCUUCGGUCCAUGAUACCUGAAGAUGAUGAGUGUUCUUCUUGCAAAACCUAUCUUGCUGAAAUUGCUCUUCUCAAGUCUAGAAAUGAUUCUUGUGCUUUAGGAGCUGGGAUAACUGCUAGUGUUAAAAAUGCUUGCUCAAAAUGCUAUGAAUUGAAACUCGAUAUUGGUUUGCUUGAAAUUAAGCUAAAAGAAGUGAAAAAAAAGCUUGAUCAUGAUAAGUCUAGGAAUUGUGAAAUUUGUCAAAAUCUUGCAUGAACUUAAAAAGAAAUUUGGUUUCCUUAAGAUUAGGAACAAUUUGCCAGAGCUCAUGACAACUAAAACUUCUAUUGAAACUUGUUGCUCAAAUUGUGCUAAUUUAGAAGCUGAGCUAAAAGACAUUAAGAGUGCUGUUGAGUCUCAUGCUUCUUGUGCUUCUUGCAUCUCUCUUAGACAAGAUCUUGGUUCUGUUAAGAAAGAAUGUGCUAAAAAGGAGGAGCAGCUAGCCAUUCUAGAGCAUGAUCUGGUAGCUGCUAAGAAAGAGUGUGUCAGGAAAGAUGAGUCCCUAGGUAUCCUAGAGAGAGAGAAAAUCUACUUGCAGCAAUCUUUAGAAAAAUUUGCCCAGGGAAAGAAAAAGCUCAAUAUGAUCCUAGACCAAUCCAAGGUGAGCAAGUUCAACCAAGGUAUAGGUUAUGAUUUUGCUGAGUCUUUGAGGAUAGGUGGACAUGAGAUUCUUGGCUUUCAGGAUGGUGUUAUAGAGUUAGCUAAAAAAUCUACUGUUUUUAAGUCAGCUGGCUUCUUAGAUAGCUCUAGCUCUAGUAUACCCAAGCCUACAGAAGCUGAGAAAGUGACUAAGUUUGUAGAAGCUGAAAAAGAACCUAAGCCUAUCUCUCUAGAAUCAGCAGAGUCUAAACCUAAGGAGCCAAAGCUAACAACUCAAGAAAAAUCCCAUACCUACCAAGGUACACAAGUCUGUAGAGAAAACCAAAUAUGAAUGCACCUUUUGCAAUAAGUCUGGUCAUUUGGUUGGGUUCUGCUUUAGAAAGGCCAAAAAAGAGCGACAAGAGUGUCUUAGGACUUUGAGAGCCCUGCGUAGUCAGCCUAGAGUCCCUAAGAGGUUUGAGUGCGCUUGUCAUUGUCAUUCAAGUGGUGUAUCUCGCUUUCCUCGGCGAGAUAUGCACCCUCGACAUGACUUGGCGGGGUUGGGGCAGAACAUGUGGGAUCAGCAUGUGCAUAAAAUUUUGGUGAACUCUAACAGUGUCUCUACCCCUCGAAUGAAUCAGUACUGGAUUCCUAAGUCUUUUCUCACUAACCCCAGUAUUGAUUCCUCGAGGUCUGAUUUUUCUUUGCAUUAGGUCCUUCAAGGUGGGAGAAGUAACUCUUGGCUUGUAGAUUCUGGAUGUUCUCGUCACAUGACAGGUGAUGCCAAAUGUUUUACUUCUCUCACUCGCGCAUCCGGUGAUGAGACGAUCACUUUUGGGGAUGCAAGCUGUGGANNNNNNNNNNNNNNNNNNNNNNNNNNNNNNNNNNNNNNNNNNNNNNNNNNNNNNNNNNNNNNNNNNNNNNNNNNNNNNNNNNNNNNNNNNNNNNNNNNNNNNNNNNNNNNNNNNNUUGAUCUAGAAGUCAGUUUCAAAAAGAAUGAUUCUAAAGUGCUGGAUUCUUGUGGGUCUCGUGUCUUUGAGAUUUCUCGAGUCGGCCGAGUUUAUUUUGCUGAUUUUGAUCACUCUUUUGGUCCUUCUCGAUGUCUCAUUGCAUCUAGCUCUUCUGAUCUAUUUUUCUGGCACCGACGACUUGGACACAUUGGUUUUGAUCACUUGUCUCGUUUGAGUGGCAUGGAUUUGAUUCGUGGUUUGCCAAAACUGAAAGCUUCUAAGGAUUUGGUAUGUGCUCCUUGUCGUCAUGGCAAAAUGACUGCUACUUCACAUCCACCAGUGACUUGGGUCAUGACAGAUGGACCCAGACAGCUGCUUCACAUGGAUACAGUUGGUCCUGCUCGGGUUCAGUCAGUGGGAGGGAAGUGGUAUGUUCUUGUCAUUGUGGAUGACUACUCUCGAUACUCUUGGGUCUUUCUCUUGGAAUUAAAGAGUGAAACUUUUGGCUUCUUUUGUGAUCUUACUCGUCGCUUGGCCAUUGAAUUUCCUGGAGCCCUAAGAGCAAUUCGCAGUGACAAUGGGUUGGAAUUCAAGAAUGAUUCUUUUGAAACCUUCUGUGAUUCUUCUGGUAUUGAGCAUCAAUUUUCGUCGCCAUAUGUUCCACAACAGAAUGGUGUGGUUGAGAGAAAGAACCGCACACUUGUGGAAAUGGCGCGUACCAUGCUCGAUGAGUACUCUACUCCAAGAAGGUUUUGGACCGAAGCAAUUUCGGCUGCUUGCUUCAUUUCAAAUCGGGUCUUCUUAAGAACUUCCUUGCACAAGACUCCAUAUGAACUGCGUUUUGGUCGUCGACCUAGUGUUUCUCACUUUCGAGUCUUUGGUUGCAAGUGUUUUGUUCUUAAGCCUGGUAAUUUGGACAAGUUUGACUCUCGUUCUUCUGAUGGUGUGUUUCUUGGCUAUGCUGAUCAUUCACGCGCUUAUAAAGUUCUCAUUCUUGAAACUAACAAAAUUGUGGAGACCUGUGAGGUUUCUUUUGAUGAGGCUAGCCCUGGUGCUGUAUUUCUGGGACUCCAGUUGUUUCAGAGACUUUGUUUAUAGAAGAGGAGUCCGAUGAGGAUGAUGAUGAUCUUCAUCGCUCACCUCCAGCUCGUGAGGUGGCACUUGAGCAAGAUGAUGGAGUUCCUACCACUACUUCACCUCUGGCAGACGCAACUGCAACAUCUUCAUCAUCAGUUGAUCAUACGGAGAUGAAUGGUGGCACUUCAGGACCAACGGCUCCCCGGCAUAUCUAGAAUCGACAUCCGCCUCACAUGAUGAUCGGAAGCCUGGAUGAGAGGGUAUCUAGAAAUUGAUCCUAUGAAAUUGCUAAUUCUGCUUUUGUUGCUUCUUUUGAGCCCAAAAAUGUCUGUCACGCUUUAACUGAUGAGAAUUGGGUCAAUGCCAUGCAUGAGGAGUUAGAAAAUUUUGAGAGAAACAAUGUUUGGUGUCUUGUUGAACCUCCCAUAGGGCACAAUGUCAUAGGCACAAAAUGGGUUUUCAAAAACAAACAAGGGGAAGAUGGAACCAUAGUUAGAAACAAAGCCAGACUGGUUGCACAAGGUUUUUCUCAAGUCGAAGGCUUGGACUUUGAGGAAACUUUCGCACCAGUUGCUAGGUUAGAAGCUAUCCGAAUUCUUUUGGCUUUUGCUUCUUCUAAAGGUUUCAAACUUUUUCAAAUGGAUGUCAAAAGUGCUUUCUUAAAUGGUGUUAUUGAAGAAGAAGUUUAUGUCAAACAGCCCCCUGGUUUUGAAAAUCCAAAAUUUCCUAACCAUGUUUUUAAACUUGACAAAGCUUUGUAUGGUUUGAAACAAGCACCACGUGCUUGGUACGAAAGGCUGAAAAAUUUCUUGCUUUCUAAGCACCACGUGCUUGGUAUGAAAGGCUGAAAGAUUUCUUGCUUUCAAAUGGCUUUGAAAUGGGAAAGGUUGACAAAACUCUUUUUACACUCAGAGAUGGCAUUGAUUUCCUUCUUGUUCAGAUAUAUGUUGAUGACAUCAUUUUUGGUGGUUCUUCUCAUCAUCUUGUGGCCAAGUUUUCAGAAACUAUGAGCAGAGAGUUUGAGAUGAGCAUGAUGGGUGAGCUGACCUACUUCCUUGGACUUCAAAUCAAUCAAACUGAGGAAGGCAUCUUUGUGCACCAAACCAAGUACUCUAAAGAUCUCCUGAAGAAGUUUGACAUGGCGGACUGCAAGCCGAUCGCCACUCCCAUGGCCACAACUGCUACUCUUGGACCAGAUGAGGAUGGGGAAGCAGUUGACCAGCGUGAGUACCGAAGCAUGAUCGGCUCCCUCCUCUACCUGACCGCGUCAAGACCAAACAUACACUUUGCUGUAUGCCUCUGUGCGCGAUUCCAGGAUUCUCCAAGGACUUCUCAUCAACAAGCCGUCAAGCACAUUCUUCGCUACAUCAAGUUGACACUCGAAUAUGGACUCUGGUACUCUUGUUCUUCUAUCUUGUCUAUUCGAGCGUUUUCUGAUUCUGACUUUGCUGGCUGCAAAAUCUAUCGAAAAAGCACUUCUGGUUCUUGCCAUUUCUUAGGGACUUCUUUGGUUUCCUGGUCGUCUCGUAAACAAUCAUCCGUUGCGCAAUCUAAUGCUGAGGCCGAAUAUGUGGCUGCUUCCAGUGCAUGCAGUCAAGCGCUUUGGAUGAUCUCAACUUUACGAGAUUAUGGGCUGUCUUUCUCGAGUGUUCCUCUGCUUUGUGAUAACACUAGUGCCAUUAACAUUGCAAAAAAUCCUGUUCAACAUUCGAGGAGCAAGCACAUUGAAAUUCGGUACCAUUUUCUCCGAGAUAAUGUCGAGAAAGGUACCAUUGUGCUAGAGUUUGUUGAAUCAGAAAUGCAACUUGCUGAUAUCUUGACCAAGCCGCUUGAUCGUUCUCGGUUUGAGUUCUUGAGGGCUGAGUUAGGGAUAAUUCAUCCCUAUGGCUUGAGUUGAGGGGGAGUUCUGUGCUUUGCUCUACAUUUGUACAUAGUGCAUCAUGUUUACAAAUAUCUGUUUUGCAUUCUAUCAUGUCUUCCUGCAUGUGAGCUUUGCAUGUUAUCUCUUUCACAUCACUUUGUUGUGCAUGGUUUACAUAUGUGCUAGUUUGAUUCCUUGUCUAGCUUUGAUGUGCUCUAGUAGCUUGUACGACCUUGCCAUGUUUAAUCAAGUGCGUUGAAACUUACCUAACUUGAAUUUUCACUUAAACAUAAAUCUUGUGCAAGUGCUUGUUCUAAGAGUUUGCUUAAAUUGAAGCUUCUUUCUCAUACUUAUGCCAUGCUUUACUCCUUCUUUGCAAUAGCUGUACAUGCUAUCGGAAAGCUUUGCUAUGGUCCAUGUUUUGAAUCUUUCAUGUUAUCUAUGUCAUCUUUUGCUCUUGUCCGGACUACUAAGUGUGUUUACGUGCGAGUAGUACCGAAGAUAGCAUAGAGACUGCCUAUAAUAGGAACUCCAGCUGGAUGUCCUGGUUGAUCAAAUCAGGAGGACCAUCGCGAUUGUGCUAUAAAAAAAUGUAUGUGUGCAAUUUAAAAAAAAGAAAAAAAUGAAUGAAAAAAAAUGCUUUCAAAUGAUGACGUGUGCUUUCUUAGCACAUCUUGUAUGAUUCUUCAUGGACUUUGACCUAGCACGUCAGGCAUGGGCAUUUUGUGGAGUUGGAGUCUUCAUUGCAUUCUUAUGAGGUCGAUUGCUUCUUCUUAAAUCUCUUUUAGAAUUUUCAUUGCACACUAAGCUACUUAUUUCAAUUGAAAGCUUUUAUUGUUGCUUGUGAUACAAUCUUGCUUCUAUAUGCCAUGAUUCAUACUUCUUUUGCGCAUACAUAGCUAGAUAUUGGCACUUUCUUGCUCUUGUGUGGACCAUGCACCUCGUUUGGAUGUUUUUAGAUAACUUCCCAAGCUUACACAUUUACUUUGUGCAUCUUGCAUCUCUAUGCAUAUGUUCUUUUUACCUUGAUGGCCUCAUUGUCAAAGGGGGAGAAAUAUAUGCUUUCUUUGAGAAAAUUUUUUUAAAAAAAGUGUUUUUCUCUGUAUUUGUCACUUGGUUUUUGAGUUUUGAUCUCUUUGACCAAGUUUGACUUUUGGCAAAUCUUUUGCUUUUAAAUUUUCAAAUUAUUAAAAUUCUUCUUUAGUGUUGCCAAUGUUUCCAUCAAGGGGGAGAUUGUGAAACCAAGAGUGAUUUGUAUUAAUUGUGAUGGAAAAUUGGCAAGUGUGGUUAAAGCGUGUGUGUUGAAUAACGAGGGUCAGGUCGUGAAAUCUGUGCUCGCAAAACGGUGGUUCGGAUUGUUUGUAUGCAGGUGUUUGGGGUCAACUUUGGUCAACGGUAGAUCGGGAUCAAACUCAGGGGAAGUUAUGGUCUAGCACGGUCGAGGACGUCGGGUUACAAGGUGAGACAUAGACGCGUACGCAAUGUACGAACAUCGUGCGGAACAAUCGGAUGUUCGCGAAGAAAAUCGAUGGGGGAGGAACACACAUACAUGCCUCCAUGCAUACGUACGUGCAAAGAAUGGAUGGCUAGCUAGUUGGUUGGUGCAAGGCAGCAUGGCUGGCUUGGAUUGCUCGGGCUUGGUCAACCUGCAUGCGUGCAUGUAUCGGUGAGCUAGCUUGCGGAUGGAUGGCAAGCAACAACGCCAUGGCUCAUACACUCGGGAGACGGGCCAGUGGUCGCUGACGGCUGGGCCCAGGCGAUGCAUGCACGCCAUGCAGAGGGAAUCACUGAGAACAACUAGUGCUUCGGUCUCGGGUGCGAUGCAGCAGCCGCUGACGGGUGGGCCCCGGUCGGAAUAUUCGGUGCACACGAGAAACCAGCCUACGGCCGACGCGUGGCAAGACCUUCGUCUUCACGCGCGCACGGAGGCAGCUGUAAGGUGGAUUUUCUGUGACAUCCGGAUCCCCUGUGGCAGAACAGAAAAGGGCUACGUGGCUUAUUCUGGAGCGCCGAUUUUAGAUCAAACGACUGUGAAGACUUAGAGUAGCCGCCAAGUUUGGGGGUAUUUUGGUCUUUUUCUAAUGGAGGAUCAGCCCUAUAAAUAGGGGUGAGAUGGUUGCUUGAAUUUGCAACUUUUAUGAUGGAAUGAAAAAUGUUUUUCGAGAGUGGUUUGUUACUUUAGCUUGUGUUGGCUAGAGGUGACAAUAACUCUCAUGAAUUAUUAUUGUUAAGCUUGUGAACCAAGCUUUGUAAACUUCAAAUGAAAUUUGAAGUUUACUUGUGAAAUGAAAUUUUAUUUACCGCAUUUAAAUUUUACGCUUUCCGCAUUUAAAUUCCUGUCGAUAUUUUCUGCUCUAUUUUUGAUCUCUCCAUUCCUGUCCUUCUAUUUUCAUGGAGAUAUUUUUGGAGUUUUGUGAUCGAAUUGGAAUUUUAUUCUUUUCGGGGAUAGUUACAAUUUAGCUAUAUUCAUCCCCCUCUAUAGCCAAAUCCGAUCUCACAGGUCUCAUGCCUGGAAAACUAAGUGUAUAAUAUACAACGGGUAAUCUGCAAUUCUCAUAUGGCUAUACUUGUUUUAAGACAAAUCAUCAGCUAACCUAGUCUUUUUGCCCGUUGGAUUGUCACUAGGCAAGUAUCCACUGACGAAGGAGAGGCCAAAGCGCAGGCGCAGGGCACCAUGUUUUUGGAAAACUAGUGCAAAAGUGAAUACAAAACAAUUUUGGUUAUAGUUACCGGUUAACCAAAACAACCGAAAUAACUAAACUAAUAUAAACAAUUGUACAUCAAAGCCCAAUAGUUUACAAAGUCUAUCAACCAUGCAAUUAUAAUGCUAUGUUUGAGAAUAUAUUUAUGAUUUGGUGAGUUUCGGUCGUUGAACUAAAAAAAACAUAAAAGAGGGGAGGUGUUGUCAUUUUUUUAAAAAAAAUCUGUAUUUUAACAAAACCAAAGCCAAAAUACUCAUUUCUGUCUUUUUCCAAACUAAUUUUGGUAUUGACUUCCUAAAAGUUGAAUUUCCGUUGUAACCGAAUCAAACUAACCGAAAGACUUUAUCGCACGCGUCGCCUCCACUGAAACCAGAUCGUUGGUUAUCCCUUCCCGUCAAGGCACACAUGUGAUCUCUUCGCUCUAAGACAUGAUAUUAUCUCAUCAUCGCGUGUUGUCCCACAUACACCUUACCUAGGUGCCAAUAAGCUCAUAGGAGACCCGAAAAUAAUGCCCUAUUACAUAUGUUAAUUGAUCAUGUUUAAUGAACAAGGCCAUUACAACUAAGAGUUGCUUUUUCAAAAAAAAAAACACAACUAUUUCAUUACAAUAUAAAAAAAUAUGUUGAACGUCGAAACCUGUUAAUAGCCAUCAAAACAGUGCACUUUUCACCUUGGUUGGAAC
rnacentral:lncRNA from 1 species